GAAGUUUAGCGGAAGGGGCGGGCCAUAGGCCAGCAGUACCCGCCCCUUCCGGGAGGACUUCUGCAAACAAAGCCCCACACCCCCCACUAAUGCAGACCUCCAGGGUCUGCCCUGACCCUCCCACUCAGAUACUGCCUGUGAACAGGGGACAAAGGCACAGUCAACUGUGGGAAGUCCUGUCCACACACCAGGGAGUCAGAUUAACCCGGAAUAUGGUUUAUAUAGAAGACAAGACAUGGAGUGUCAGGUGACUGUGGAGAGGUUUGUGAUUUCCACUGCAUCUCUGCAGGUGUAAUGGAGAAUACAUUCUGAGCUCAUCGUGUGUCCACGGCAGAAGGGGACUGGAAACGGGAAGACGACUAAACGUCCUAUAGCUUCUGGAAUCUUUCUUGCACUCCAUAGCACCCAAGAGGUCUAUUCCCUCAGAUAACCAGAAACGGGGGUGCGGUGGGGAUGGGGCAGGAUGGACUUGUUAUAAAUACUUCCAGAAAUAAAAAGUAACAGUCGGGCACCUGA